AAGAAGGUGAUGGCUAUGGGCAAG
rnacentral:sRNA from 1 species